rnacentral:rRNA from 1 species
UACGAAGGGGGCUAGCGUUGCUCGGAAUCACUGGGCGUAAAGCGCACGUAGGUGGGUCGUUAAGUUGAGGGUGAAAUCCCAGGGCUCAACCCUGGAACUGCCUUCAAUACUGGCGACCUUCGAGUCCGGGAGAGGUGAGUGGAACUGCGAGUGUAGAGGUGAAAUUCGUAGAUAUUCGCAAGAACACCAGUGGCGAAAGCGACUUCCUGGACCAAUACUGACGCUCAUGUGCGAAAGCGUGGGGAGCAAACAGG